GCCUAGUGGGCUGCAGACUCUCCCAAGAGAGAAAAGACACCCGAGAGCAGAUUCCUGAUGCUGUGGAAGAACUCUGCUUCCAAACAAUGCCCACCUCCCAUUUCAUCCUCCCUUUCCACCAGCCAAAGAUGUCAACUUGAAGAGAACAACACCAGAGUGGCAGGGCAACCUCCAGUGAUGAAUGGCUUGAGCAGAAGGUCUGAACAGCAAACCCCACCUAGCCUUGCAACCUGGACACCUUGCUUGGAACCUGG
rnacentral:lncRNA from 1 species